AAUAGUGCAGUUUAAUUUUUACGGAUACAGUUAAUUUUAUAAAAAAAUUAUUAUAUGGAAAUUAUUAGGUGAAAUUUUUAAUUUUUUUAAAAUUUGUUAUUAAUGAGGCUGUGAAAUUUUAAAUUUAAACUAGGAUUAGAUACCCUAUUAUUUAAAAUGUGAAAGUUUUUCCAGAUAAUUAUUAGUUAUGGUCUUUAAAAUCAAAGAUUUUGGCGGUAUUUUAGUCUAUUCAGAGGAACCUGUCCAGUAAUUGAUAGUCCACGAUUAGAAUUACUUAUUCUAAAUGUUUUCAUAUCGUCGUAAUUUGAAAAUUUUACUAGAAUUUAAAUUUUCAAGAUUUUUAUUAGAAAAUAUAUCAGAUCAAGAUGUAGCUUAUGAAUAAGUUGAGAUGGGUUACUAAAAGUUUAUUUUUGAAUUAUAAUUUUAAAUUUUAUAUGAAAUUGGAUUUGAAUGUAAUUUUAACUAUAUAGUUAAAAUGAUUUAAGCUCUAAAAUAUGCACAUAUCGCCCGUCACUUUCACUUUAAAGUGAAAUAAGUCGUAACAAAGUAGGCCUACUGGAAAGUGGGCCUGGAAAGGCGAGUUAGAGCUUGUUAUAAAGCAUCUUAUUUACAUUAAGAAGUUAACUGUGAAAUUCAGUUUAACUUGAAUUUAAUAAGUUAUUGAUUAUUUAUAUUUUAUUUUUUAUAAAUUAAGUAAAUUUGUGUUUUAUUAUUAUAAUCGAAAUAAUUUUUUUUAUGAUAGUUUAUUAGUACUGUGAAGGAACUUUAUUUAAUUUAAGAAAGAAGAUUUUUUAUUGU
rnacentral:rRNA from 1 species